UUCUAUUCUGAUUAACAGGUAAGGGCUUAUCCAGGCCAAGAGUUCAAAUAUUAAACUUUGCCCAAGUUCCUCAUUGCAUAACACGGAAAGCAAAAACAAAUAGAAAUUGCGAAAGAUGAUUUUCCUGGCUCCUUUAUUAAAAGCCGCAUCUUUCUUUUUAAAGAAAAUACUCGACAAUCCACCUUUUAACUGCCCUCUGUCUUUCUGAAGCUUUGUUGACUGUGCACCAUUUGGGAGUUAUUGCUGGUACUAGAAUCCCAGAAGGAAACUUUUCUGGAGGUGCUUGUAAGUGGGAAAUCAGCCACAGCCUGACUAUCCUCAGUUGCUCUGGAGCUGUGGGGCUUUCACUAGCGAAUCAUCUCAGGGACUUAAGGCACAAAGAGCCAAGUCAACCAUGGGGCUGAGAGAAUGAAACUGAAGACUCAAUUUCAUCAGUUUAGAUCAUGCCAAAGGAAGAGCAGCAUGAACCAACUUCUAGACACCAGUCAGCCUCGUAACCCUGGAAUGCGGACUACUUGAGCUGUGUGGCCCGAGGUGAGGAUUCUGAACCAAACUUGAAUUUUAGACCAGAACUAUUCCCUCGGUGCAGUGAGGUAUUCUCUUAUGAAAUUUCUUCUCCAACUUCCUUUGUGCCUGAAAAGAAUCAGUUCAUGCUGAACACCAGCUGUGCCUGUUCAAGCCAAGCCUGUCUUUGUACAGCUCUCCCAGGACCCACCGGGGAACCCGCCUUGGCCAGAGGUGUACAAGAGGAACCUUUGCUUCUGAGCAGGGGUCCGGGCUCUUUUUCACUUUAUCAUAUGAGUCUCUUCAUCUGCAUCGUAAAACUCUUCCUCUUCCUCACUCUCACUCCCUAAAGGGCUCUCCUUGUCUGCAGGCUGAAACAGGAAAGGGGGAGAGGGCAGAGAAAUGAUGUCAUGACAUUCCGAAAGUGAAAAAUUAUCACCUAGCUAUCCAAAUAACAAAUGUGUUUUGAUGACAUCUAUUCCCCUAAGUAGUCCCCGAAGUGUUCUAAGAAAGCUAAUGAAUCAUCAGAUCUCUUUAUUUUUCUGAAAAUCAGCUGCUAUAUCAGUUCCCACCUUUGUUUUCCAUUCUACUCAAUCUAACUGGAACAUUAUUAUUAUUAUUAUUAUUAUUAUUAUUAUUAUUAUUAACAACAACCAUCAUCCCAGCAGAAGACACGAACAGUUAAGAUAAAGAUUCUCAGCCCUACCUGCGGAGGAUCCAAGGUCUGUAAUGACAGUGCUUCCUCCCCCAGCCGACGAUAGGAGUACAUCUGAAGGUCAGAAAACGUCUCCAGCAACGGGCUAUUAAGAGUUUCUGGCAGUAACAAACUCAAGAGGCCUGAGGCCAGGCCCGUGGCUCCAAAUACAAUGAAGGGGAGAGACCACUGCACAUAUUUCUGCAUGGGCAGAGAGUGGGACCAGAACAAAGGAAACUCAGUGUCAGUUUCCUCUGCGGAUGACAUCAAGCAGUCUUGUUACUGAAAACUGUCAUGUUUAUUAUCCAGUCUGGACCUCCCACUAGAUUACACCAUAAUCCACUUUUUCUUUGCUCAUAGAGAAUUAUUCCGGGAAAUCACUGAGUGAUUCCUCUGGCGUAAAAGGCUGGCCAUAUAAGCAAUUGCUCCAGAGAUUCAAAAGAUAUUCUUAGAAAAAGUUCAUGUUUUCUUUCAAUACAAAGAAACACACAAAAAGAGAUGGCAAGAUGCUGCUUCGCGCCACUGGAGCUGAUUAUUAACAUUCGAGAGUUCCUCUUAUACAGAUGUGCUAAGGUUUAUGACCUUCUGGUUUGACUUCCAAAUUCUGUGGGCACUAAUGAGAAUUCUCUCUCAGACCAUUUUUUUUUUCCUAAUUUUUCAAAAGGGAAGAGGUGAUGGAGAGGAUGAAAGAAGCAGGAGAGGGGAGGGGGAAAGAGAGUUAGGAAAGAGGAGAGGGAGAAGAGGGAGGAGGGGGAUCUCUCAUCACAAGUUACCUACUGCACACAAACCCAGGGCCUGCACUGUGGGAUCCCAGCAAGGGGAACGCAGGACUUUCCCUCCUCACGGGAAGGGGAAGACAUGAUGCUGGGUGGGGAUUACAAUGUUCAGGAACAGCCACCCAAAGUCAGGUAAUUUUAACAAUAUACACCUCACGUCCCACAGGUAUUUUGCCGAAUAUAACUAUGGAAUUAACAUGAUUCCUUCGUAAGAAGAGUUAUGCGACCUAAAAUUGAGCAUGGGACAUGGAAAGAUAUAUUCAGGGAAAGGAAGUACAUUGCAACUCUAAAAAGAAAAAAGACAAGGGUCACAUUUCAGUCACCCCAUACUAGGAAGUGGGGGUUAAGCUGCCUGAGUGAUGAACAGUAGUCCGCAGAGAAGGUCUAUGAGCCCUAUAUCAAACCUUGGUUACCUUUCAAUAGGCUUGGUGGAAAGUCACAGAUCAGACCAAGGACAGACCUGCAUGGGGCCCUGGGGCUCCUACCCAGAACCUGAGCAUUGUAAGACUGGAAGGAUUUUAUGGCUGACAUUCAGUCUCUCCCCUUUUUUUGCACUAUGAAAUCUAGAAAAUGCCCCCAAAAUCGUGUGUGUGUAUAUGUGUGUGUGUGUGUGUAUUAACAAAUAUAUUAUAUUAUAUAUGAAGACUGCUAGGCAUAUUUCUCUAGUUUUCUUUUCCAAGUGGUGUGAGAGGAAAACAUUUAAUCUGUUUCUGUAGCAUUUCUCAUCUUUAAUACAGGGGUGACGAUGACACCUACCUCAUACAGCUAUCGUCAGGGUUACAUGUGAUGACAUGCAUCAAGGGCUUAGCACAGAGCCCUGAGCAAAGCAGGCACUUAAUGAAGACUUACUAAUUGAUUAACUUAUGAAUGGACACAGGAAGGAGACGACCUAGCAUCAGCUGACCCUCCAAUGAAAUCAGAGGAACAAAAGCUCAGAUCCUUCAUGGGUAAAAGCAAACCAAUCCAUUCGGCCUAGACUGAGUACUGGGUUCUUAAUCUAAAAGGCAUAUGUUCAUUUUUGUGUCUGUUGAUCUUAACCGGCAUCUGUGCAUUACCUCUCUCUCUAUGCAAAAGCACAAGCAUUUCCAAAGCAGAGAAUCAAGAAAAAUUAGGAGGUACAAACCAACCAGUGAGGGGACGAAGGGAGCAAUAAUCCCACCAACUCGGGAGAACAUGGAGCACGUUCCAAGCCCAACAUUCCUGAAACCAUAAGAAAAAGAAAAAGAAAAAGAAAAAUUAUAUCAGUAGGUUGGUUCCAGCGGGACAAUUUAAAGACAGUAUAUGCACAUGUGCAGGCACGUUUGCAUUUGUGUGUGGUGUGUGUAUAGGGGCUGGAGGAGUAAAAUGGGCCCAGAACAGUAUAUACCCAAGUGGAAGCACAGUAUCCUAUAGAGCGGUGCUGCCCAUUACAACUUUCUGUGAUGCAGGAAAUGUUCUGUAAUUACGAUGUCCAAUAUAGAAGACACUGAGCACAUGAGACUACUGAGUACUUGAAAUGUGGCUGGUGAGGACAAGGAAAUGAAUUUCCAGUUUAUGUAAUUUUAAUUAAUUUAAAAAAGAUGGUGGAAUGAGAUGGACAUCAUUACCGCAGGUACACGUAUGACUGCACAUACGGUGCAACACUACAUCGUGCACAACCAGAGAAAUGAAAAGUUGUGCUGCAAUUGUGUGCAAUGAAUCCAAAUGCAUUCUGCUGUCAUAUAGACCUAAUUAUAAUUAAUUAAUUAAAAAAUAAAUAAUCACAUGAGGAUAAUAACUACUAUAUUAGUGCAUCUAUAGAGGAUGACGUAGAAAUGAACAUCUGAACAUCUGUUAUCUAAUGCUUUUAUGGCUGUCUUUCAGUCUCUCCCCUUUUUCUGAACUAUGAAAUCUAGAAAAUGCUCCCCCAAAUUGUAUAUAUAUGUGUGUGUGUCUUGAGUCUCCUAUUAGUUAAUAUAGCCAUAGAGAACCAGGGUUUCAUAUUCCUAAAAGUCUGACCAUUUAUUUAAACUCAACUAUUAAAAUUCAGAAUAUAAAUAGUAAUUGAUUGCGUGUAUACUGUCAGGUAACCCAGAAUAUUACUUUUGUUGGGAGGGGGCAGAAAAGAGGAUGGUAGCGAGGGAGAAGGGCAGAAGUUCUAGAUAGGGUGGCCGGCCAUACACCACUCUGUUAUCUCAGCCUCAUUGUUAAUGAUGUCCACAUUUGCUUUCAAGUUGCCCUAGUUUGGAUAACAUUCUAGUUUCAAGGCCAAUAGCCAGACAAACUAGGUUGUAGGAAUAGUCAGGAAAUGAGCAGCCAAUCUCGGAAAUCUGACUGUUACUGGGAAAAGGGAUUUUAAACUAAAAGGAAGAAAGAACCCUUAGUCUUAUUGCAUGGCUAAGGGAAUGAGAAGGAUCCACUUAGAAUGAUCCUCAAAAAGACUGGGAAAGGGCAGAUUGAGGAAAACCUGACCCAGCCCACUGAGGUCAUUCUGAAAGGUAUAAGCUGCAUCCCAGGCCACCCUUUAAAUUUGAAUUAGUUUCUUGUUUUCAGACUUAUUUUAUGAGGGGAAAUUUAGGACAGAAUACGUUCUUUUUGACAUCUUCCCUUCCUACUCAUUUAAAACCACCUUUAACGAUGAAUGUUGAAAAAAAUCUAACAUUCACUUACUACUAUCUGAGAUGAUCAUUAAAAUGUUUUAAAAUAUA